rnacentral:rRNA from 1 species
UACAGAGGGGGCAAGCGUUAUUCGGAAUUAUUGGGCGUAAAGGGCGCGUAGGCGGCUUGGCAAGUGGAAGGUGAAAUCCCUCGGCUUAACCGAGGAACUGCCCUCCAAACUGCUUCGCUUGAGACCGGGAGAGGUGAGUGGAAUUCCCAGUGUAGCGGUGAAAUGCGUAGAUAUUGGGAGGAACACCAGUGGUGAAGGCGGCUCACUGGACCGGUACUGACGCUGAUGCGCGAAAGCGUGGGGAGCAAACGGG